GAUGAACGCUGACAGAAUGCUUAACACAUGCAAGUCAACUUGAACUUCGGUUUGGGUGGCGGACGGGUGAGUAACGCGUAAAGAACUUGCCUCACAGCUAGGGACAACAUUUGGAAACGAAUGCUAAUACCUGAUAUUAUGAUUUUAGGGCAUCCUAGAAUUAUGAAAGCUAUAUGCGCUGUGAGAGAGCUUUGCGUCCCAUUAGCUAGUUGGAGAGGUAACGGCUCACCAAGGCGAUGAUGGGUAGCCGGCCUGAGAGGGUGAACGGCCACAAGGGGACUGAGACACGGCCCUUACUCCUACGGGAGGCAGCAGUGGGGAAUAUUGGACAAUGGACCAAGAGUCUGAUCCAGCAAUUCUGUGUGCACGAUGAAGUUUUUCGGAAUGUAAAGUGCUUUCAGUUGGGAAGAAAAAAAUGACGGUACCAACAGAAGAAGUUACGGCUAAAUACGUG
rnacentral:rRNA from 1 species